GGGUAUUGCCCUCAGUAACGGCGAGUGAAGCGGCAAUAGCUCAAAUUUGAAAUCUGACCCUUUCGGGGUCCGAGUUGUAAUUUAUAGAGGGUGUUUCGGGCGAGAUCACGGUCUAAGUUCAUUGGAACAUGGCGUCCUAGAGGGUGAGAAUCCCGUAUGUGACUGUGGAUCGAGCCCAUGUGAAGCCUCUUCGAUGAGUCGAGUUGUUUGGGAAUGCAGCUCAAAAUGGGUGGUAAAUUUCAUCUAAAGCUAAAUACUGGCUGGAGACCGAUAGCGCACAAGUAGAGUGAUCGAAAGAUGAAAAGCACUUUGGAAAGAGAGUCAAAAAGUACGUGAAAUUGUUGAAAGGGAAGCGCUUGCAACCAGACCUGUCCGUAGGUGAUCAGCCGCUGUUCUCAGUGGUGCACUCGCUCUGCGAUCAGGCCAGCAUCGGUUCGGGCGGUCGGAUAAAGGCCUUGGGAAUGUAGCUUCCUUCGGGGAGUCUUAUAGCCCUCGGUGCAAUGCGGCCAGCCGGGACCGANGACCGCGCUUCGGCUAGGAUGCUGGCGUAAUGGUUGUAAGCGACCCGUCUUGAAACACGGACCAAGGAGUCUAACAUCUAUGCGAGUGUUUGGGUGUCAAACCCAUGCGCGGAAUGAAAGUGAACGGAGGUGAGAACCCUUAAGGGCGCAUCAUCGACCGAUCCAAUGUCUUCGGAUGGAUUUGAGUAUGAGCAUACUGUUGGCACCCGAAAGAUGGUGAACUAUGCCUGAAUAGGGUGAAAGCCAGAGGAAACUCUGGUGGAGGCUCGCAGCGGUUCUGACGUGCAAAUCGAUCGUCAAUUUUGGGGUAUAGGGG
rnacentral:rRNA from 1 species